rnacentral:misc_RNA from 1 species
UAAUAAGUGUUUUAUGGCACUUUUUAAAUCCAUAUCCACCUUGUGUGCAAUGUCGGUCGAUCUUCUUUCUAUGAGGAUCGGACCCAAACAUCAACCUUUAUCUUUUAUUUAAAAACUCUUUGUCUGAAAAAUAUUAUGAAUAAAACAAUUCAAAAUA